rnacentral:piRNA from 1 species
UGCACAGUUUAAAGCACGGAGUG